UACGGAGGGUGCAAACGUUGCUCGGAAUCACUGGGCGUAAAGGGUGCGUAGGCGGGUCUUUAAGUCAGAGGUGAAAUCCUGGAGCUCAACUCCAGAACUGCCUUUGAUACUGAAGAUCUUGAGUUCGGGAGAGGUGAGUGGAACUGCGAGUGUAGAGGUGAAAUUCGUAGAUAUUCGCAAGAACACCAGUGGCGAAGGCGGCUCACUGGCCCGAUACUGACGCUGAGGCACGAAAGCGUGGGGAGCAAACAGG
rnacentral:rRNA from 1 species